UGCUUACACGCCUCCUCCCUCCCUGCCGGCGCGCCGCCUCCUCCCUUCCCUCUGGCCUGCCGCCUCCUUCCUCCCCUGCCCGCUCGCCGCCGCCGAUGGCCGGCCCCAACCAAUCACUGCCGCCCGCCGCGCCCGCCGCCCCCAACCACCGGUCGCCAUGCAACUCUCUCCUCCAGUCGCCGUGCGCCUCCCAACCCCGGUCGUCGCGCGCCUCCUACCCCGGCCGUCGCGCGCCUCCGACCCCACCCGUCGCUCGCCUCCGGCCACUGGCCGCCGCACGCCUCCCUCCACCCGGCUCCCUGUGCUGCUAUGGAGUCCGUCCUGGCUGAUCUGCUCUGGCCGUUCAACUUUGUGUCUUCCGACCGCUUGGCCGGCGGAGCUUGACGAAGAGCACCCCGGUCUCGCUUGUGUGUGGAGUUCUGAGCAUCUUCUACUGCUGUGUUCUGCUCUCGUCUAUUUUCAACUGAAUGCGCUGCCAUGUGUGGAUUUACUCUCGACUCGCCGGGGUGGAGCUCCUCUGCCUCUAGCUGUCGAUCCAUAGUUCAUUGUCAGUACAGGCUCCGUAGCUGCCCAGUACAUGUUGGGGGACAUUUCUGGAAUCACGUAUCCUUCUUGCAGCUGUAAUUUUGAUUGCAUAGCAGUGAAGUUUUGAUUCACAGCAGUACAAUUUAGUCCCAGCUGCCAUGAUUCUGCAAACCAUUGUGCUACCAAAAAGAUGGUUCUUUGUUGCAACAAAUUGUGGGGAAAUGCAGUGAAAUAGGGGCAGUACAAGCAGACGGUGCUUUGUUCUGUAGGCUGCCACUCUUCUGCCUGUCUGGUAACAGCGGCGAGAGACGAACACCAUGCGCACACCCAUGUGACAUGAAGUGGAGGCAUCACUAUGGCCGCGUACAGAGUGUUGGGACUGCAACAAUUCCCAAGGUCCAAAGCGUACAGGAUGUGCUUGUGAGCUGUGAUGUUCUGAACUUGUGAUAUAUCUGCGGCGGUGAGAGGCAGACCCGUUCAUGUUACUCCAUCUCCCAAGCUAAGUUUUCUGCUGUUUUUGAUGUUAUUCCUAAAAGAAAAUCAUUUAUACAUGGCCAAUGUGAAUGUGCAGUCUGGUGUACUGCAAAAGAACAGUCAUGUGUGUGGUUAAUUAGCUGAGCAUGCAGGGCUUGUUUGAGCUUUAGGUGGAGAACUAGUUGGAUACUACGGUUUUUGGAAAAUCAAGUUCUUUCUUUACAUGAUUUACAAACUCACAUUGCAUUCUCCUGUUGCUUUACUCUUCCAUCUCAUAUUGCUUCAUUCUAUAAGAUUGAGUUAUCUAAAAGAGUUUUUGUUCCUGCUAUCUACAAAGAUACAUUCUUUUAACUGAAAAAUGAUGUAUCUGGCGGCCACCACUCCUUGGAACUUUUCUUCCAUCUGCUUCUACGCAGACCAUGGUGCUUCACUUUGUUCUUAUCUUUUUUAUUUUGUGCAGCCAGUCAGUGCUUCUUCUUGAUCUCCCGACCACCAGUGCCGCUUCUUUCGGGCCUUCUGCUCAUGGCGCUCGAGCUGUCUGUACAUUUUUUCCUCAGUUCUAAAUUCUAGAGCGUCAGUCCAACUACAUAUCAGGAUCCCCUACCUCCAUGUCCACAUUCAGAUGUGCUGCAAGUUCAAUUGUUUCAGUUCGAGCAGGUAGGUCAGACCUUAGAAGCAACUUGCAGCCGCACUUGCCGGCACCCGCGACACGCCACCCCACCGCCCCCAAGGCAUG